rnacentral:rRNA from 1 species
AUGUGCUACUAUCUGGGUGCUUUCAUGUUCCGAUUGUUGUGCCGGCAGAAUAAGUGGUUGAUGUAUAAACGGACCUUGAUUCUUCAACAAAAUGCAGCUGCUAUUAACCGUAAUAUAAGAAAGUUCAGGCCUCAGGCCGCUUAUGAACACCUUACAAGUUACAACAUAGAAAUCUGUUUGAUGCUUUCAGGGAUGAUGUGCACCAGGAUUACAAUGUUCGCCACGGCGCAGUUGCAUAUGUUGUGCAACGCAACAAAGACAUUGCCUAUUCAAGACAACGACAACCCCUAUAACCAGAUUUUGGAAAAAAGUAUUGGAAGUACUUGUAACUUCCACCUUCAGGCCUUACGACAGACAUUUCCUUCGACCUUGAACAAGACAUACAACAUAACUUCAGACUUCAGUCUGCCAUUCUACAGAACAUUUGAACUAGUGUGCAUCACUCAGAUCGCGCUCUAG